rnacentral:lncRNA from 1 species
GUUCAAGAGAAACUGACCUCUUUGUCUCUUUUUUGGCAACAUUUUGGCCAUUGUUCAUAGUCUUGAUGUUUCUGUAUGCAGGAAUUCGAGAUUCAAGCCAGCAACCACUCAUAGCUCAUCUGCUGUGACCCUACCUGAUCCCCCAGCCUCUCCAAGCCAUCUAGCUGCAGAAGGCUCAUCAGCAAACAAUGCACUGACCCUACCUGAUCCCCCAGCCUCAGUUAGGACUGCCACCAAAGAGCAAGACAUGAUUGACCUUCUGAGCAUCACCUUGGCA